CACGUAGGGGGCAAGCGUUGUCCGGAUUUAUUGGGCGUAAAGAGCUCGUAGGCGGCUUAGUAAGUCGGGUGUGAAACCUCCAGGCUCAACCUGGAGACGCCACCCGAUACUGCUGUGGCUAGAGUCCGGUAGGGGAGAGUGGAAUUCCUGGUGUAGCGGUGAAAUGCGCAGAUAUCAGGAAGAACACCCGUGGCGAAGGCGGCUCUCUGGGACGGUACUGACGCUGAGACGCGAAAGCGUGGGGAGCGAACAGG
rnacentral:rRNA from 1 species